CGUUCGUCUGACUUGGGUA
rnacentral:snRNA from 1 species